ACCUUCACCUUAGGGUCACCAUAAGUCAGAAAUGACUUGAAGGCACACCAACAACAAAGUGCCAAAGCAGGUCCACUUUGGCCAUUAGGAAAACAGGGGGCUCUUGUUCGGUCUCUUGCUAGGGUUUUAUGGCCGUCCCUCCCUGCCUUGGCACGAGGUCAUUGUGCCAGAGGUGUCAUCCAGGGGCUGGGCCCUGUUUUCCAACAGUGGCUUGGUACCAGGAGAGGGCCACAGGACCCCAAGCAGCUGUGGGAGGAGUGGCCAUAAAACUGAGGGAGGAUUCAACAUCACACAAAAAGACUCAAGUGACUGGCCCUGAGGUAAAAUGAAGUGGUGGCCUCAGGCAGUAGGUUUUAGAGUGCCAUAAAAAGACAGGAAAAGGUAGUUAUGUGAUUUGUUGUUACUCUAUGCUUAUUGCCGGAGGCUGAGGAGAAGUUCUUUUGUAAUUUUUCAUGUUAUGUACCAAAAAUAACUUGGCUGACUUGUGCACUUUGCAGCUUGGCUUGUUGAAUGUAGGGAGCCAUUCGCUGUGCUACCUCAGACAGCAAAACGUCAUGGGCCCUGGCCAGUUACUAAUAAUAAGUGGCAGCCACUUGCCACUAGGGUUGGACCCACAUAUAAGUGGCCUCCCUCCCUCCCUCCUUUAACCCACCAUUUCUAACUCUAGGUCUAUAUUAGAAAAAUGUAAAAUGCAACACAAAUGAAUCAACGAAAGAAUAAGACUAAAAGGUAGCAAGGCCGUAAAACCUCAUAUCAGAAGAAAAACAAUAAAGCCAAUUUAAAAGUACAGUAUAAUAAAAUCAAUACAACACAAAUGUAUCAGCCUUCAAAUAAUGACUAAAAGGCAAAAGGGCCAUAAAAAGCUCAGACAAGAAAGAAGAAAUAAAAACAAUUUCAAAUGCCUGGGCAAAUAAGAAAGGAUCCAUCUUCAAAAAGAUAGUACUAUCAAUGGUCUUUAACCCUUAGGAAGAGAGAUCCAAAAUUAGGAGUCAACUGCAAAGAAGUCCCUCUCCUUUAUAUGCAUGUGUGUGUGUGCCUGUGUGUGUGCACAUGUAUCUAUAUAUCUGCCUGUUUGUUUAUCUAACUAUCUGUCUGUCUAUCUGAUCUAUCUGUCUAUGUCUAUAUGGUCCCUCACCAGGUGACAAUACUCAGCUGAAGAACUUUCUAAGAUGGUCUGAGAAGACAGGAUGGACAGGAUGAUCUGAGGAAAACCUUACUGAUUCCCAUGUAGAGCUCCCAGGAUAAUAGCUCAAAAUGCAAUUUCUUGGGACAGAUGAGGAGGACUAUGUGGCUGCAAAGAAGACCACCCUUUUCCAAAUUACCAUUGUAGCUGGUUGAUUUGAAAGCUUUAAACCUUGGAUACAACUAAAUCAUACAUUAAAGAACAUUUAUAUUGGAAUCCAGGACCAGGCAUAAGAACUGUGCUGCUUCUAUAUAGCCCAGCAUCCUAUUCCCACAGUGGCCUGCUAGAUGUCUCCAAGAAGUACUUUUCAAGACAUGAAUACAACACAAUGCAUACAAUACAAUAGCACCCUUCCACUCAUGUUCUGUAGUUACAUGCUCGCAGAUGCACUACUUCCAAUGCUGAAGGUAACAUAUACUCACUGUGAGUAGUCUCUUGUAAUUAGGCAAUUGUUGCUUCCUGGACCCAACCACUCACCUCAUUCUUUGCACCAUGUAAU